rnacentral:rRNA from 1 species
GCUUAACGCGAAGAACCUUACCCAGGCUUGACAUCCUUGGAAGGCUUCCGAAAGGAAACUGUGCCCUCGGGAACCAAGUGACAGGUGAUGCAUGGCCGUCGUCAGCUCGUGUCGUGAGAUGUUUGGUUAAGUCCAUCAACGAGCGCAACCCUUUUAGUUGGUUGUAUUUCUCUAGCUAGACUGCCCUGGUAACAGGGAGGAAGGAGGGGAUGAUGUCAGGUCAGUAUUUCCCUUACGUCUGGGGCUACAAACACGCUACAAUGGCCGGUACAAAGGGCAGCCAAGUCGCGAGACGGAGCAAAUCCCAUCAAAGCCGGUCUCAGUUCGGAUAGCAGGCUGAAACUCGCCUGCUUGAAGCUGGAAUCGCUAGUAACGGUAGGUCAGCACACUACCGUGUAUACGUUCCCGGGUCUUGUACACACCG